CAGAAAUAUUUUGUUCUCAUAUCAAAUUAUAUCAGAAUGGACUAAUAUCUUAUGGUUAACAUCUGUUAAGUAAAUACAUAUCAUUUAGCCCAUUUGCACAGGUGCUUACCACAAACUUACUACAAUGUUGAAAAACGGUUAAACUUUCCGUUAACAAACACACUGUCAUAUCAAGUGUCUCUUGAUCCUUAAUUAUGUAAUAUUCACACCAUGCUCUUAACAUAUGAAUCCAGUAUACCGGAGUAUGAAAGCAGAGCUUCAGCUUAACCCGAUGCUUCUCCAUCAUUACACCGCUGGCCUCUCUCUAACUCUGACCAUUUCAUUUCCUAGCGUGCCCUGGUUGGAUAUAGUUGGCAUGCCCGAUCAAAACAAACAAACAAACAAACAAAUAUGGGCGUACAUUGAAACCAUGCCAUCAUCUAGCUCUACCCCACCCCUACCUUCCCCAGGGUGUGCCUAUACUAGGGAGCACAUUAACACAUUUGCAUUCAAUCUUGGGAACAGAAGAUAGUAGUCAAACUGGUGAUAUGAAGUAAGGUUCCAGACCAGUUCCCCACACACCCAAAGUCCAUUGGCAGGUAACCCAGUUCCUGGAGUGAAGCUGGUAAUGCAGGAUUUUGUCCCAACUAGGCACCUAAUAGACAAGAUCAGUGAUUGCCCUAAAUUCACCACUCCAGGUCCAGGGUUGUCUACUCUCCCCUAAACUAACAACAGACCCUAGGCUAUAGCAACACCUUAGAACAACAGCAGGCCCUAGUCUACAGCCACACACUAGACCAACAACAGAUCCUAGGCUGUAGCCACACCUUAAAACAACAGCAGGCCCUAGGCUACAGUCUCAUAUAAGAAGAACAACAGAUCCCAGUCUACAGCCACAUCCCAGAACAACAACAGGGCCUAGGCUACUGUCACAUCUUAGACCAACAACAGGGCCUAGGCUUCAGUUACAUCUUAUACCAAAAAGAGGGCCUAGGCUAAAGCCACACCCUAGAACAACAGGUUCUAGGCUAUAGCCACAUCCUAUAACAACAACAACAGGUCCUAAGCCUCAGCCACACCCUAGAACAACAACAAUAGGUCCUAAGCCUCAGCCACAUCCUAGAACAACAACAGGGCCUAGGCUACAGCAACAUCCUAGAACAACAACAGGGCCUAGGCUACAGCAACAUCCUAGAACAACAACAGGGCCUAGGCUACAGCAACAUCCUAGAACAACAACAGGGCCUAGGCUACAGCAACAUCCUAGAACAACAACAAACUGACCCAUCAUACACAGUCAAUACAGAGACCCUCUUUUCCCACACCUCCAUAUGGUAGAGAGUCAAGGACAAUGGCAGGAGACAAAUGUACUGCACCGCUUGAGCAACAGUAAAUAAAUAAUCAUUUAAAAAGACAAAAAAACUUUCCUAUGGAACAGUAAGUGCAAUGUGCUUUGUUUUUAUAUUGACUGAGAACAAAAAGAUAUAUAUAUUUUUUAAAAGAAAAAGAAAUUAAACGUCACACUGAAAUGGUUUGCGGAAAUAGCGAAAGGAUCAAAUGUAAAGAAACAAGUGUUAAUGCACCGAUUCAUUAAAGAGAAUCUAACAAGCACGGAUAGAGAGUUCUGAUCUCUGAAAAUGUCCAUAAUCCCUUCCUCAGCCCCGGAUUAGUGCUCUAAACAUGCAAGCUAAAAGUAACUACAUAUUAUUAUUGGGUGAAAUAAAAAAGAGCAAUGUAAUUGAAAAUACCUUGAAAGGGAUACUGUCUAAUAUAUCAUCAGUUUUAGCCCAUGUCGAUUUCAGAAUAUAAUUUUUCCUGUAAUUUAUUGAUUUUCUUUUACAUAUCAAGACUCACAUGUUAACGUAGCGUAUUCGUGUUGUUGACGUUGCCAUAUAGGACACACAUGGGUCAAACGUUUUAUUUGGUUGCUUUGAUUGAGUAAACCUUUUAUGAUUUUUAUUCCAUUAUUUAAUUAGUUGCAGUUCUUAUGGUGUAUGCAGAUUUUAGACUUAGUUAGAAUUUUAUUUCAAUCAAAAUGUGUUCAAUUGUGUUUGUAAAAGUCUGUGGUAGCUUUUGUUGCAACAUAAAUAAUUUAAACAGAAAAAAUUCAAGAUAGCGCCAACAAACUUGUAUUAUUUGGGCGACUUUAAGCUUGUAGUUUUAACUUAUUGUUAACUUAAAAACUAUUUAUUAUUAUUAUUGCCUCGUAUAAAGUAUGUUUUGUGUAUAUUUAUGGUUUAUUUCAUUAUAUUUGCAAGUUUAAAAGAUUUUAAGUUUGCCAAAAUUGUGGUUACACCAUUUCUUUUCUUAAAAGGGAACAAAUAGAUUAAAAAACAGCUUUAGAAGUACGAUUUGGAAAUGUUCUCCAUAGUCAAAGAAUGCACUGCUAUAUUUAACUAAUUGAAGUGUAUAAACAUACAUGCUGUGUGCUAGAUGUUAUGCCUUUACUGCCUGUGUUCUGUUUGUCUUGUUCAAUGAAAACCUUUUGAUUAUUUAAUCUAAUCACAGUCUUGUUUUUCCGUCUGAGAACCCCUGGGGAGUGUCAGUAAGGACAUGGGCGGGGCCUGGGACAGGGGUGUGGCCUAUUGCAGGCUCCAGAUAGGAGCCUGGACCUUAGGCAGUGCCUGAGGCUCCAUGUGCCCUCAACAAGCUUUCUCUACUACCGCUGAUGAACAGAACUGCUGUAGGUAUUAGAAGCAUCAUUAUUCAUCAAACAGGGCAUCAGAGUUCUAUGUAGUUCUAACAGCAGUAAGAAAGCAUUGUUGAUGGUCACUGGUGUAGGAAAGGGGUCAGUGGUUCUUCUGUUUCUCGACAAACUGUAUUUUGUGUCUAUUUAUUUAGAAGAGGGGACACAGUAAUUUAGUGACGUUCUUCUUACAUUUUCCUGGAAUGGUAGAACAAAUCAAAGGAGAAAAUGAUCAAAACAGAUCUACUGGCAUCAAAGUCGGUAGGAAGAUCUCAAAAUCUCAUACUUCCAAACAUGACCAAAUGAACAAUGACAAAAUGUAACAAAGAAAAAAAAUAAACCUUUCAGUUUA
ensembl:lncRNA